rnacentral:rRNA from 1 species
GGAGUAUGGGCCGUGUCUCAGUCCCAUUGUGGCUGAUCAUCCUCUCAAACCAGCUACUGAUCGUCGCCUUGGUAGUCUCUUACUCCACCAACUAGCUAAUCAGAUACAGGCUCAUCCUUUAGCGAUUAAUCUUUCAAGUACUGUAUCUCAACAGCACUCAUAUGAGGUAUUAGCACAAGUUUCCCUAUGUUGUCCCUCUCUAAAGGGCAGAUUCCCUAUACAUUACUCACCCGUCCGCCACUUUCUUGAUAGCAAGCUACCAAUUCUCGUUCGACUUGCAUGUAUGAUGCACGCCGCCAGCGUUCAUCCUCGAGCCACUGAUCAAACUACU